rnacentral:rRNA from 2 species
AACUUUCAGCAACGGAUCUCUUGGCUCUCGCAUCGAUGAAGAACGCAGCGAAAUGCGAUAAGUAAUGUGAAUUGCAGAAUUCAGUGAAUCAUCGAAUCUUUGAACGCACCUUGCGCUCCUUGGUAUUCCGAGGAGCAUGCCUGUUUGAGUGUCAUUAA